GAUGAACGCUGGCGGCGUGCCUAAUACAUGCAAGUCGAGCGAAUGGAUUAAGAGCUUGCUCUUAUGAAGUUAGCGGCGGACGGGUGAGUAACACGUGGGUAACCUGCCCAUAAGACUGGGAUAACUCCGGGAAACCGGGGCUAAUACCGGAUAACAUUUUGAACCGCAUGGUUCGAAAUUGAAAGGCGGCUUCGGCUGUCACUUAUGGAUGGACCCGCGUCGCAUUAGCUAGUUGGUGAGGUAACGGCUCACCAAGGCAGCGAUGCGUAGCCGACCUGAGAGGGUGAUCGGACACACUGGGACUGAGACACGGCCCAGACUACUACGGGAGGCAGCAGUAGGGGAUCUUCCGCAAUGGACGAAAGUCUGACGGAGCAACGCCGCGUGAGUGAUGAAGGCUUUCGGGUCGUAAAACUCUGUUGUUAGGGAAGAACAAGUGCUAGUUGAAUAAGCUGGCACCUUGACGGUACCUAACCAGAAAGCCACGGCUAACUACGUGCCAGCCGCCGCAGUAA
rnacentral:rRNA from 1 species